rnacentral:rRNA from 1 species
AUUGAACGCUGGCGGCAGGCUUAACACAUGCAAGUCGAGCGGAGCGGCGGACGGGUGAGUAAUGCUUAGGUAUCUGCCUAUUAGUGGGGGACAACAACACGAAAGGGAAGCGAAUACCGAAUACUAGUAGAUGAGCCUAAGUCGGAUUGGUUUGUUGGUGUGGUAAAGGCCUACCAAGGCGACGAUCUGUAUCGGGUCUGAGAGGAUGAGCCGCACAACUGGGGCUGGGACACGGGCCCGAAUCCAACGGGAAGCAGCAAUGGGGAAAUAUGGAACAAGGGGGGAACACUGAUCCAACCAUUCCGGGGGGGUGAAGAAGGCCGUAUGGUUGUAAAGCACGUUAAGCGAGGAGGCGUUACUCGCAGAAUAAGCACCGGCUAACUCUGUGCCAGCAGCCGCGGUAAUAC